CUAGGUGUGGGUCCCAUUCCACGGGGUCCGUGCCGCAGCUAACGCAUUAAGCGCCCCGCCUGGGGAGUACGGCCGCAAGGCUAAAACUCAAAGGAAUUGACGGGGGCCCGCACAAGCGGCGGAGCAUGCGGAUUAAUUCGAUGCAACGCGAAGAACCUUACCAAGGCUUGACAUACACCGGAAACUUCCAGAGAUGGGAGCCCCCUUUGUGGCUGGUGUACAGGUGGUGCAUGGUUGUCGUCAGCUCGUGUCGUGAGAUGUUGGGUUAAGUCCCGCAACGAGCGCAACCCUCGUUCUAUGUUGCCAGCGGUUCGGCCGGGGACUCAUAGGAGACUGCCGGGGUCAACUCGGAGGAAGGUGGGGAUGACGUCAAAUCAUCAUGCCCCUUACGUCUUGGGCUUCACGCAUGCUACAAUGGCCGGUACAAAGGGCUGCGAUCCCGUGAGGGGGAGCGAAUCCCAGAAAGCCGGUCUCAGUUCGGAUUGGGGUCUGCAACUCGACCCCAUGAAGUCGGAGUCGCUAGUAAUCGCAGAUCAGCAACGCUGCGGUGAAUACGUUCCCGGGCCUUGUACACACCGCCCGUCAAGUCACGAAAGUCGGUAACACCCGAAGCCGGUGGCCCAACCCCUUGUGGGAGGGAGCUGUCGAAGGUGGGGCUG
rnacentral:rRNA from 1 species